UAGGUGGCCAUUUUGCUUUGCUCUCCUAUC
rnacentral:piRNA from 1 species